AUUCCAGCUCCAAUAGCGUAUAUUGAAGUUGUUGCAGUUAAAAAGCUCGUAGUUGGAUUUCUGGUAGGAGCGACCGUGCCGAACUUGAUUGUUCGUGUAUUGUGUUGUCUUCAGCCAUCCUCGUGGAGAACUUUUCUAACAUUAACUUGUUGGGAUUGGGACCCGCGUCGUUUACUGUGAAAAAAUUAGAGUGUUUAAAGCAGGCAUUAGCUUGAAUACAUUAGCAUGGAAUAAUAAGAUAGGACUUUGGUACUAUUUUGUUGGUUUGCAUACCAAAUUAAUGAUCAACAGGAACAGUUUGAGGAUAUUCGUAUGAACAUGUCAGAGGUGAAAUUCUUGGAUUUUGAUCAGACGAACUACUGCGAAAGCAUUUAUCAAGGAUGUUUUCAUCG
rnacentral:rRNA from 1 species